rnacentral:rRNA from 1 species
CAAUAGCGUAUAUUAAAGUUGUUGCGGUUAAAAGCUCGUAGUUGGAUUUCUGUUGAGGAUGGGCGGUCCGCACUUCGUGCGUGUAUCUGUUACAGCCUCGGCAUCCUCUUGGAGAACGGUGCUGCAAUUCAUUUUGUGGUCCGGAAUUCAAGACUUUUACUUUGAGGAAAUUAGAGUGUUCACGGCAAGCAAUCGCUUUGAAUACAUUAGCAUGGAAUAAUAAUAUAGGGCGUAAGUUCUAUUUUGUUGGUUUCUAGGACAUACGCAAUGAUUAAUAGGGACAAUUGGGGCGAUUCGUAUUAACGCGUCAGAGGUGGAAUUCUUAGAUUGCGUUACGACGAACUACUGCGAAAGCAUUUGCCAAGGAUGUUUUCAUUGAUCAAGAACGAAAGUAUGGGGAUCGAAGAUGAUCAGAUACC